rnacentral:rRNA from 1 species
GAUGAACGCUAGCGGCAGGCUUAAUACAUGCAAGUCGUGGGGCAGCAGGUUUGUAGCAAUACAGAUGCUGGCGACCGGCAAACGGGUGCGGAACACGUACAGAACCUUCCUUUGAGCGGGGAAUAGCCCAGAGAAAUUUGGAUUAAUACCCCAUAGUAUAAUGAAGUGGCAUCACUUUAUUAUUAAAGAUUUAUCACUCGAAGAUGGCUGUGCGGCUGAUUAGGUAGUUGGCGGGGUAAAGGCCCACCAAGCCUGCGAUCAGUAACUGGUGUGAGAGCACGACCAGUCACACGGGCACUGAGACACGGGCCCGACUCCUACGGGAGGCAGCAGUAAGGAAUAUUGGUCAAUGGAGGCAACUCUGAACCAGCCAUGCCGCGUGGAGGAUGAAGGUCCUCUGGAUUGUAAACUUCUUUUAUAUGGGACGAAAAAAGGCUUUCUAGCUCGUCUGACGGUACCAUAUGAAUAAGCACCGGCUAACUCCGUGCC